ACAGCUGCAAAAAUUGACUUAGGUUGGCUUCAAAUGUGAUAAGUAAGGAUUAGGAAUUAAAACAGCUCUGAUCAAAGCAUAAAGAACAGCCUGAACAGUUAGCCUUUGUAUAGAAGGAUAGAGUAUAAAUAAAAGGAAUAAUGAUGCAUUCCUUAUUUUUUUCUACAUGUAGGACUUGUCAUUAAAGAAGGGUCUGUAGGUUUGCUGCUUUGAAGCACUAUCCUUUGACUUCACCAUUAUCAGCCCUUUCCACAGCAACACCUGCUCUGCAAAUUUCAACUAACACUGCUCCAACUAAGACCCCAUUCAGAGUCAUAUGGUAGCUAGUGGUAGUGCAGAAUUGGUCACAAUUGGUGACCAAUUCUGCACUAACAUCCUACCUGAUGUCAGCAGCUCACUGAUGAUGUCUUU
rnacentral:lncRNA from 1 species